rnacentral:rRNA from 1 species
UAUGGCGACCGGCGCACGGGUGAGUAACGCGUAUGCAACUUACCUAUCAGAGGGGGAUAGCCCGGCGAAAGUCGGAUUAAUACCCCAUAAAACAGGGGUCCCGCAUGGGAAUAUUUGUUAAAGAUUCAUCGCUGAUAGAUAGGCAUGCGUUUCAUUAGGCAGUUGGCGGGGUAACGGCCCACCAAACCGACGAUGGAUAGGGGUUCUGAGAGGAAGGUCCCCCACAUUGGAACUGAGACACGGUCCAA